GGAGAGUUGUCAGAGAUGGAUUAUUGAGACGGUCUUGAAAACCGUUGGACAGUUACGCUGUUCCAUGGGUUCGAAUCCCAUACUCUCCUCCA
rnacentral:tRNA from 2 species